UACAGAGGGUGCAAGCGUUAAUCGGAAUUACUGGGCGUAAAGCGUGCGUAGACGGUUAUGUAAGUCAGGUGUGAAAGCCCCGGGCUCAACCUGGGAAUUGCAUUUGAGACUGCAUAGCUAGGGUGCGGAAGAGGGAAGCGGAAUUUCCGGUGUAGCGGUGAAAUGUGUAGAUAUCGGAAGGAACACCAGUGGCGAAAGCGGCUUCCUGGUCCAGCACCGACGUUCAGGCACGAAAGCGUGGGGAGCAAACAGG
rnacentral:rRNA from 1 species